CCGUGCCGUCUGUGGGCGGAACCGCCCUGUUGGCAACCCGCCCCCGACUCGCGACACAGUUCCCCAUUGGUGGAAAGCGCUUGAGGCCCACGCUGCAGGCCACGUGGUGGUGUUUUCAUUGCCAGAGCCGCCCAGCCCGGGAGGGGAGAAGCGGAGAGCCACUGUAGCUGGCGCGGGAUCUGUAGGCUGCGGUCUUGGCUCUUCGUCAGGGCCAUCGCGAAGGAGACUGGCGGACGCACUCGUUCCCUCCCCCACCCAAUCCCUUAAUACUUCAGCGCUCGAUGCCUUCGCUAAGCAGUAUUUGGCGAGACCUGAUUUGCGGCUGCAAACAUGAAAGAAAAUGCACAUAAAAUGGAGCUAAAUGCGUGUCACCAUGUGGAAUUACUCUACACAGUUUGUGAAUCAGAAGACUCCUGCUUUGGAUUUAUUCAAUUCCCCGCCGACUUUUAAUUCGUGUCUUUUCAAAUUUAAUUAUUGCUAUACCACAGCAGCUUAGAUUGGCAUAGUUAAGAUUUAUCCAAUUUAUGACUGUAUAUAUGGGUAUUAUGUAUGUAUGUGUGUAUUUCUACUUUAGAUCUAAAAUAGAUAACCAAAGAGCAUUUUGCAAAAAAGCACUUAAACUUUUCUGGUUGGAUUUCGGAUUGGGUUUUCUAAGACGCAAAUGUAAGUUUCUUUUCUAAUUAUAUUAUUCUUUCCCUCCACGGUUAUAAAAAUAAAAAUAGUUCUACUUGUAGAUCCACAGAUGAUGAUUGCUCUUUAGGUGAUUGUGAGAUGUUUUAUAAACAAUUCUAGGUAAAAAUAAUUAGCCGUUUGGAUGCUUUAACUGUAUCCUCUUUGUAACUCUUUGAUCGAUGGUGCUUCUCCUCCCUCUUCCCCAUUCAGCCAAAUGCUGCAGUCUUCUCAGUUCUAUUUAGAAAACCAGGAGUCUGGUAUUUAUACACAAUGGAGCCCUACUGUUCAUAAAGAAAAAUAAACUUGAGUCAUUCCAAGGAAAUUGGAUGCACCUUGGAACCACAAUGUUAAGUGAAGUAAAUCAGACACACAAGCUUAAAUAUCUCAUGGUUUAUCUUAUGCAAGAAACACAAUCUAUAAAUAAAGUGCACAAUAAAGGACAAUCGGAAAAAAGAGAAAAAAAAGUUAUUUUAAUCCAGCAUGGCCGAUGUAUCUAAAAGUGUAUGUUGGCUGGGUAUGGUAGUGCAUGCCUGUCAUUCCAGCACUUGGGAGGCUGAGGCAGGAGGA
rnacentral:lncRNA from 1 species